rnacentral:rRNA from 1 species
UACGUAGGGGGCUAGCGUUGUCCGGAUUUAUUGGGCGUAAAGAGCGUGUAGGCGGCCAGGUAGGUCUGCUGUGAAAACUCGAGGCUCAACCUCGAGACGUCGGCGGAAACUAGCGGGCUUGAGUUCGGGAGAGGGAAGCGGAAUUCCGGGUGUAGCGGUGAAAUGCGUAGAUAUCCGGAGGAACACCGGUGGCGAAGGCGGCUUCCUGGACCGACACUGACGCUGAGGCGCGAAAGCUAGGGGAGCAAACGGG